rnacentral:rRNA from 1 species
CCUACGGGUGGCAGCAGUGGGGAAUAUUGCACAAUGGGGGGAACCCUGAUGCAGCAACGCCGCGUGGGUGAAGAAGUACUUCGGUAUGUAAAGCCCUGUCAGCAGGGAAGAAAAUGACGGUACCUGACCAAGAAGCCCCGGCUAACUACGUGCCAGCAGCCGCGGUAAUACGUAGGGGGCAAGCGUUAUCCGGAUUUACUGGGUGUAAAGGGAGCGUAGACGGCAAGGCAAGUCUGGAGUGAAAGCCCGUGGCUCAACCACGGGACUGCUUUGGAAACUGUGUUGCUGGAGUGCAGGCGGGGUAAGCGGAAUUCCUAGUGUAGCGGUGAAAUGCUUAGAUAUAACGUAGAACCCCGAUAGCGAAGGCAGCUUACCAGACUGUUACUGACGCUGAAGCACGAGAGCGUGGGUAGCGAACAGGAUUAGAUACCCGAGUAGUC